rfam:Pan troglodytes isolate Yerkes chimp pedigree #C0471 (Clint) chromosome 13, whole genome shotgun sequence.
GCUGGGUGUGGUGGCUCAUGCCUGUAAUCCCAACACUUUGGGAGGCCGAGGCGGGUGGAUCACCUGAGGUCAGGAGUUCAAGACCAGCCUGACCAACAUGGUGAAACCCCGUCUCUA